UACGUAGGGUGCGAGCGUUGUCCGGAAUUAUUAGGCGUAAAGGGCUCGUAGGCGGUUUGUCGCGUCGGGAGUGAAAUCCACUGGCUUAACUGGUGGCUUGCUUUCGAUACGGGCAGACUGGAGGUAUGCAGGGGAGAACGGAAUUCCUGGUGUAGCGGUGAAAUGCGCAGAUAUCAGGAGGAACACCGGUGGCGAAGGCGGUUCUCUGGGCAUGUCCUGACGCUGAGGAGCGAAAGUGUGGGGAGCAAACAGG
rnacentral:rRNA from 1 species